rnacentral:rRNA from 2 species
UUAAGCGACUAAGCGUACACGGUGGAUGCCCUGGCAGUCAGAGGCGAUGAAGGACGUGCUAAUCUGCGAAAAGCGUCGGUAAGGUGAUAUGAACCGUUAUAGCCGGCGAUGUCCGAAUGGGGAAACCCAGUGCAAUUCGUUGCACUAUCGUUAACUGAAUACAUAGGUUAACGAGGCGAACCGGGGGAACUGAAACAUCUAAGUACCCCGAGGAAAAGAAAUCAACCGAGAUUCCCCCAGUAGCGGCGAGCGAACGGGGAGCAGCCCAGAGUCUGAAUCAGCUUGUGUGUUAGUGGAACGGUCUGGAAAGUCCGACGGUACAGGGUGAUAGUCCCGUACACCAAAAUGCACAGGCUGUGAACUCGAAGAGUAGGGCGGGACACGUGGUAUCCUGUCUGAAUAUGGGGGGACCAUCCUCCAAGGCUAAAUACUCCUGACUGACCGAUAGUGAACCAGUACCGUGAGGGAAAGGCGAAAAGAACCCCGGCGAGGGGAGUGAAAAAGAACCUGAAACCGUGUACGUACAAGCAGUGGGAGCACCUUCGGGUGUGACUGCGUACCUUUUGUAUAAUGGGUCAGCGACUUAUAUUCUGUAGCAAGGUUAACCGUAUAGGGGAGCCGCAGGGAAACCGAGUCUUAACUGGGCGUUAAGUUGCAGGGUAUAGACCCGAAACCCGGUGAUCUAGCCAUGGGCAGGUUGAAGGUUGGGUAACACUAACUGGAGGACCGAACCGACUAAUGUUGAAAAAUUAGCGGAUGACUUGUGGCUGGGGGUGAAAGGCCAAUCAAACCGGGAGAUAGCUGGUUCUCCCCGAAAGCUAUUUAGGUAGCGCCUCGUGAACUCAUCUUCGGGGGUAGAGCACUGUUUCGGCUAGGGGGUCAUCCCGACUUACCAACCCGAUGCAAACUACGAAUACCGAAGAAUGUUAUCACGGGAGACACACGGCGGGUGCUAACGUCCGUCGUGAAGAGGGAAACAACCCAGACCGCCAGCUAAGGUCCCAAAGUCAUGGUUAAGUGGGAAACGAUGUGGGAAGGCACAGACAGCCAGGAUGUUGGCUUAGAAGCAGCCAUCAUUUAAAGAAAGCGUAAUAGCUCACUGGUCGAGUCGGCCUGCGCGGAAGAUGUAACGGGGCUAAACCAUGCACCGAAGCUGCGGCAGCGACACUAUGUGUUGUUGGGUAGGGGAGCGUUCUGUAAGCCUGCGAAGGUGUGCUGUGAGGCAUGCUGGAGGUAUCAGAAGUGCGAAUGCUGACAUAAGUAACGAUAAAGCGGGUGAAAAGCCCGCUCGCCGGAAGACCAAGGGUUCCUGUCCAACGUUAAUCGGGGCAGGGUGAGUCGACCCCUAAGGCGAGGCCGAAAGGCGUAGUCGAUGGGAAACAGGUUAAUAUUCCUGUACUUGGUGUUACUGCGAAGGGGGGACGGAGAAGGCUAUGUUAGCCGGGCGACGGUUGUCCCGGUUUAAGCAUGUAGGCUGAUUGUCCAGGCAAAUCCGGAUAAUCAAGGCUGAGGUGUGAUGACGAGGCACUACGGUGCUGAAGUAACAAAUGCCCUGCUUCCAGGAAAAGCCUCUAAGCAUCAGGUAACAUUAAAUCGUACCCCAAACCGACACAGGUGGUCAGGUAGAGAAUACCAAGGCGCUUGAGAGAACUCGGGUGAAGGAACUAGGCAAAAUGGUGCCGUAACUUCGGGAGAAGGCACGCUGGUGUGUAGGUGAAGUCCCUGCGGAUGGAGCUGAGACCAGUCGAAGAUACCAGCUGGCUGCAACUGUUUAUUAAAAACACAGCACUGUGCAAACACGAAAGUGGACGUAUACGGUGUGACGCCUGCCCGGUGCCGGAAGGUUAAUUGAUGGGGUUAUCCGUAAGGAGAAGCUCUUGAUCGAAGCCCCGGUAAACGGCGGCCGUAACUAUAACGGUCCUAAGGUAGCGAAAUUCCUUGUCGGGUAAGUUCCGACCUGCACGAAUGGCGUAAUGAUGGCCAGGCUGUCUCCACCCGAGACUCAGUGAAAUUGAACUCGCUGUGAAGAUGCAGUGUACCCGCGGCAAGACGGAAAGACCCCGUGAACCUUUACUAUAGCUUGACACUGAACAUUGAGCCUUGAUGUGUAGGAUAGGUGGGAGGCUUUGAAGCGUGGACGCCAGUCUGCGUGGAGCCAACCUUGAAAUACCACCCUUUAAUGUUUGAUGUUCUAACGUUGGCCCCUGACCGGGGUUGCGGACAGUGUCUGGUGGGUAGUUUGACUGGGGCGGUCUCCUCCCAAAGCGUAACGGAGGAGCACGAAGGUUAGCUAAUCCUGGUCGGACAUCAGGAGGUUAGUGCAAUGGCAUAAGCUAGCUUGACUGCGAGCGUGACGGCGCGAGCAGGUGCGAAAGCAGGUCAUAGUGAUCCGGUGGUUCUGAAUGGAAGGGCCAUCGCUCAACGGAUAAAAGGUACUCCGGGGAUAACAGGCUGAUACCGCCCAAGAGUUCAUAUCGACGGCGGUGUUUGGCACCUCGAUGUCGGCUCAUCACAUCCUGGGGCUGAAGUAGGUCCCAAGGGUAUGGCUGUUCGCCAUUUAAAGUGGUACGCGAGCUGGGUUUAGAACGUCGUGAGACAGUUCGGUCCCUAUCUGCCGUGGGCGCUGGAGAAUUGAGGGGGGCUGCUCCUAGUACGAGAGGACCGGAGUGGACGCAUCACUGGUGUUCGGGUUGUCAUGCCAAUGGCACUGCCCGGUAGCUAAAUGCGGAAGAGAUAAGUGCUGAAAGCAUCUAAGCACGAAACUUGCCCCGAGAUGAGUUCUCCCUGAGACUUUAAGUCUCCUGAAGGAACGUUAAAGACGAUGACGUUGAUAGGCCGGGUGUGUAAGCGCAGCGAUGCGUUGAGCUAACCGGUACUAAUGAACCGUGAGGCUUAACCUU